UCUCUGCAAAUUGUUCUUUAGGUU
rnacentral:snRNA from 1 species